UACGGAGGAUCCGAGCGUUAUCCGGAUUUAUUGGGUUUAAAGGGUGCGCAGGCGGACUGGUAAGUCAGGGGUGAAAAUCUACGGCUCAACUGUAGACGUGCCUUUGAUACUGCCGGCCUAGAGGUAAGAUGGAGUGGGCGGAAUGUGGUGUGUAGCGGUGAAAUGCUUAGAUAUAACACAGAACACCGAUCGCGAAGGCAGCUCACUAAACUUUGACUGACGCUCAUGCACGAAAGCGUGGGGAUCAAACAGGAUUAGAUACCCUGGUAGUCCACGCUGUAAACGAUGAUCACUCGCUGUUGGCGAUAUACCGUCAGUGGCUAAGCGAAAGUGAUAAGUGAUCCACCUGGGGAGUACGACCGCAAGGUUGAAACUCAAAGGAAUUGACGGGGGCCCGCACAAGCGGAGGAGCAUGUGGUUUAAUUCGAUGAUACGCGAGGAACCUUACCAGGGCUCGAACGUACAGCGACUUGUCGAGAAAUCGGCAAUCCCUUCGGGGCGAUGUACGAGGUGCUGCAUGGUUGUCGUCACCUCGUGCCGUGAGGUGUCAGGUUAAGUCCUAUAACGAGCGCAACCCCUAUCGAUAGUUGCCAGCGCUUAAAGCCGGGCACUCUAUAGAAACUGCCUACGCAAGUAGAGAGGAAGGUGGGGAUGACGUCAAAUCAGCACGGCCCUUAUGUCCUGGGCUACACACGUGCUACAAUGGUCGGUACAGAGGGUCGCUACCGGGUGACCGGAUGCUAAUCUCAAAAACCGAUCUCAGUUCGGAUCGGAGUCUGCAACCCGACUCCGUGAAGUUGGAUUCGCUAGUAAUCGCGCAUCAGCCAUGGCGCGGUGAAUACGUUCCCGGGCCU
rnacentral:rRNA from 1 species